UAAGACGAACCACACGAACGUUAUUCGGAAUUACUGGGCUUAAAGGGUGCGUAGGCUGUGCGGAAAGUUGGGUGUGAAAUACCUUAGCUUAACUAAGGAACUGCGCUCAAAACUACCGUGCUCGAGGGAGACAGGGGUAAGCGGAACUUAGGGUGGAGCGGUGAAAUGCGUUGAUAUCCUAAGGAACACCGGUGGCGAAAGCGGCUUACUGGGUCUCUUCUGACGCUGAGGCACGAAAGCUAGGGUAGCGAACGGGAUUAGAUACCCCGGUAGUCCUAGCCGUAAACGAUGAGCACUUGGUUGGAGAACCCUCCAUAGUUUUCCAGCCGAAGCGAAAGUGUUAAGUGCUCCGCCUGGGGAGUAUGGUCGCAAGGCUG
rnacentral:rRNA from 1 species